rnacentral:lncRNA from 1 species
CAUAAGUGCAAGGCCUCCCAAGUCCAGAAGGCGGCUUUGGAUCUCCUGGAGCUGGAGUUACAGAUGCUUGUGGGUGCUGGGGACUGAACUCAGGUCCUCUGGAAGAAGAGUAGCAAGCACUCUUAACUGCUGAACUGCCACCAUCCCUAUAGCCCUGCUCCCUGGUUUCAAGUGUGUGCUCUUUGUGACAGUCUGUGUGCACACUUCCUGAGCCUUCCCUUUAAUCUGCUGAUCUUGCUAGGUCCGAGGAAGUGGGAACACUCUAACAUGCACCCCGUGCCUUUCUUUCUCAAAGUGAUGAUGCUGAGACCAGCGCAGCUCAGGAGCUUCUGACUACCACGGUCUCACACACCUCAAAUCUUCCCUCAGGUUCAGCUGUGCACAAGAGAAAGGGCCUUGGAUGGCGUGAUGGCACAUGCUUAUGAUCCCAAUGCUCAGAAGGACAGCUGCAGGAUUGAGGCUAUCAUGGGCUAUAGAGGCUAUCACGGGCUAUGGACAGGCCACAGGGAGCCCUGGUGACCUUCUAACAUGUGGUGACUGCAAACCCUCAUUGACAUAGUGCUGUGACAUCACUGAAGCGCUUCCUGAGGAGCUGGUUAACUGUUCUGCUGAUUCAUUCUCUCUCUCUCUCUCUCUCUCUCUCUCUCUC